rnacentral:lncRNA from 1 species
CUUAGUGGAACUAAUGAUCUUUUUAGGGUAAAAGAAACUUGCUUAACACAUUUGAGGAGCAGAGUGGUACUGUAGUAGGUCCAAUUUCUAGUGUAAAUUUUGCCGUUUCUUAUAGACUUAGGGACCCGUGGUAGGAUAAUCUUUUCCAAACUGUUUUCUUAUCUGUGAAAGUAGGAACAAUUGUUACUGCCACUCUCUUAAAAAGCUAUCUGGAGAUUAAAUGCAUCAGUGUACAUAGUAGUUUUAUUGAAAUGUGAAGUACACACAUAUCAGUAUAAGUUAUUAUUAUUACUACUAGAAUUUUAGCUAUACGUUUAAGUGGUAACAGUGUCACAUGUUAUGGAUACAAUUCUCUUUGUAUAUAAUUGCAAAAAGUAUUUUUAAUGUUCUUUCUAUAUCUAAGCUUUUCAGCAUGUACCAAUGAUUUUCUUUUCUUAUUAUUUUUAAUUGACACAUACAUAUUUAUGGGGUACAGUGUGAUAUUUUCAUACCUUUAUACAGUGUGUAAUGAUCAAAUCAGUAAUUAGCAUAUCCAUCGCCUCAAACAUUUAUCCUUUCUUUGCAUUGGGAACAUUCAAAAUCCUCUCUUCUAGCUAUUUGAAAAUAUAGUAUAAAUUAUUGUUGGCCAUAAUCACCCUAGAGUACUAUACACCACUAGAACUUAUUCCUUCUAUUUAGUUGUAAUUUUGUAUUGGUUAAUCAAUCUCUUCCUAUUCCCCUCUUCCCUGCUACCCUUCCCAGCCUCUAGUAACCAGUAUUAUACUCUGUACUUCUGUGAGAUCAACUUAUUUAGCUUCCACAUAUGAGUGAAAACAUGAUGUAUUUAUCUUUCUGUGCCUGGCUUAUUUUACUUAACAUAAUUUCCUCCAGGCUCAUCCAUGUUGCUGAAAAUGACAGGAUUUCAUUUUUUUAAUGGCCAAAUAGUAUUCCAUUAUGUAUUGUGUGCCACAUUUUCUUUAUCCAUGCAUCUGUUGAUGAACGCUUAGGCCGGUUCCAUAUCUUGACUAUUGUGAAUAGUGCUGCAGUAAACAUGGGAAUGCAGAUACCUCUUUGACAUACUGAUUUCCUUUCCUUUGGGUUAUAUAUACCCAGCAAUGGGAUUAAUUCAUAUGGUAGUUCUGUUUUUAGUUUUUUUGAAUAACCUCCAUACUAUUUUCCAUAAUGGCUGUACUAAUUUACAUUUCCACCAAUAAUAUAUGAGAGUUUCAUUUUCUUCACAUUUUUGUCAUCCU